UCGCAUCGAUGAAGAACGCAGCGAAAUGCGAUACUUGGUGUGAAUUGCAGAAUCCCGCGAACCAUCGAGUCUUUGAACGCAAGUUGCGCCCAAAGCCUUUUGGCCGAGGGCACGUCUGCCUGGGUGUCACGC
rnacentral:rRNA from 1 species